CACAUGAAAACUUUGGAGAUUGAAGAGACUUGAGCAUAAACAUUGCAGAAGUGAAGACUCAUAACCCAGGGAGAUACAUCUCUUAAAGUGGGGCAUAUGACAAUAAUGAUUUUGGAGGAAAAACUUGGUGAUUUGCCACCAUUUGGUGAGGAAGCUGAAGUAGACCUAUGGUGAGAUCCAUUUGGAGGAGAAGACUCCUGCUAGUUGCCAAACUGAUGUCCACAUUUUUUUGAAUCUUCACACCACUGGUGUACUGAAAGAAGGAAUCAUUUCCACAGUCUGGUCUCAAGA